AGCGAACGCUGGCGGCAGGCCUAACACAUGCAAGUCGAACGGCAGCUUCGUAAGAGCUUGCUCUCACGGGCGUCGAGUGUCGGAAGGGUCCGUUAUAUACCGGAUUACUCCCUUUCGUGGGGGCUAAUGCCGGGUAAUUUAUGCUAAUACAGCAUAUGUCCCAUGUGUGUAAGCAGGGGUUCUUUUGACUAUUUGCGAUGGAAUAAGCCGAUGUCGGCUUAGCUAGUUGGCGGGGUAAAGGCCCACCAAGGCGACGAUCCGUAGCUGGUCUGAGAGGAUGAUCAGCCACACUGGAACUGAGACACGGUCCAGACUCCUACGGGAGGCAGCAGUGGGGAAUAUUGGACAAUGGGCGCAAGCCUGAUCCAGCCAUACCGCGUGGGUGAAGAAGGCCUUCGGGUUGUAAAGCCCUUUUGUUGGGAAAGAAAAGCAGCAGGUUAAUACCCCGCUGUUCUGACGGUACCCAAAGAAUAAGCACCGGCUAACUUCGUG
rnacentral:rRNA from 1 species